GUGACAGCCACGCGACUUUAUAAGAGCCGUGCGCCCACUGAGGCGAAUACAGAAAACUUAAAAUGCCUAGUCUGUGCUUUAAGAUCUUGAGAACUGCCAUUCUUCUAGCUCUGGCAGCGAUGCAAUUGAAUGCCGCCAGCAUUGUUGAGGCCGAGGAAAUGUCUGGCGAUUGUCCAUGCCAAAGGCGGGGCUAACUGGAAACUCGAAAAGUGGUCGAAACAGAAACCGAAUUACAAUACAUCAAUAAACAAGCCAGGUCAAUGCAUAUGUUAAAUU